UGGGGAAUAUUGCACAAUGGGGGAAACCCUGAUGCAGCGACGCCGCGUGAGUGAGGAAGUAUUUCGGUAUGUAAAGCUCUAUCAGCAGGGAAGAAAAUGACGGUACCUGACUAAGAAGCCCCGGCUAACUACGUGCCAGCAGCCGCGGUAAUACGUAGGGGGCAAGCGUUAUCCGGAUUUACUGGGUGUAAAGGGAGCGUAGACGGAAUUGCAAGUCUGAUGUGAAAAUCCGGGGCCCAACCCCGGAAGUGCAUUGGAAACUGUAUAUCUAGAGUGUCGGAGAGGCAAGUGGAAUUCCUGGUGUAGCGGUGAAAUGCGUAGAUAUCAGGAGGAACACCAGUGGCGAAGGCGGCUUGCUGGACGAUGACUGACGUUGAGGCUCGAAAGCGUGGGGAGCAAACAGG
rnacentral:rRNA from 1 species